GAUGAACGCUGGCAGCGUGCCUAAUACAUGCAAGUCGAGCGAACAGACGAGGAGCUUGCUCCUCUGACGUUAGCGGCGGACGGGUGAGUAACACGUGGAUAACCUACCUAUAAGACUGGGAUAACUUCGGGAAACCGGAGCUAAUACCGGAUAAUAUAUUGAACCGCAUGGUUCAAUAGUGAAAGACGGUUUUGCUGUCACUUAUAGAUGGAUCCGCGCCGCAUUAGCUAGUUGGUAAGGUAACGGCUUACCAAGGAACGAUGCGUAGCCGACCUGAGAGGGUGAUCGGCCACACUGGAACUGAGACACGGUCCAGACUCCUACGGGAGGCAGCAGUAGGGAAUCUUCCGCAAUGGGCGAAAGCCUGACGGAGCAACGCCGCGUGAGUGAUGAAGGUCUUCGGAUCGUAAAACUCUGUUAUUAGGGAAGAACAAAUGUGUAAGUAACUAUGCACGUCUUGACGGUACCUAAUCAGAAAGCCACGGCUAACUACGUG
rnacentral:rRNA from 1 species